GUCGAACGCCCGUAGCAAUACGGGAGUGGCAGACGGGUGAGUAACGCGUGGGAACAUACCCUCCGGUUCGGAAUAACUCAGGGAAACUUGAGCUAAUACCGGAUACGGCUUAGCGGCGAAAGAUUUAUCGCCGGAGGAUUGGCCCGCGUUCGAUUAGCUUGUUGGUGAGGUAACGGCUCACCAAGGCGACAAUCGAUAGCUGGUCUGAGAGGAUGAUCAGCCACAUUGGGACUGAGACACGGCCCAAACUCCUACGGGAGGCAGCAGUGGGGAAUAUUGGACAAUGGGCGCAAGCCUGAUCCAGCCAUGCCGCGUGAGUGAUGACGGCCUUAGGGUUGUAAAGCUCUUUCGCUCGGGACGAUAAUGACGGUACCGAGAUAAGAAGCCCCGGCUAACUUCGUGCCAGCAGCCGCGGUAAUACGAAGGGGGCUAGCGUUGUUCGGAAUUACUGGGCGUAAAGCGCGUGUAGGCGGGUCUUUAAGUCAGGGGUGAAAUGCCAAGGCUCAACCUUGGAACUGCCUUUGAUACUGAAGAUCUUGAGUCCGGGAGAGGUGAGUGGAAUUGCGAGUGUAGAGGUGAAAUUCGUAGAUAUUCGCAGGAACACCAGUGGCGAAGGCGGCUCACUGGCCCGGAACUGACGCUGAGACGCGAAAGCGUG
rnacentral:rRNA from 1 species